rnacentral:rRNA from 1 species
GAGUUUGAUCAUGGCUCAGGACGAACGCUGGCGGCGUGCUUAACACAUGCAAGUCGAACGGGCUCUGUCUGGCUGUGUGCUGGGUGGGGUUAGUGGCGAACGGGUGAGUAAUACGUGAGUAACCUGCCCUCUUCUUUGGGAUAAGCCUUGGAAACGGGGUCUAAUACUGGAUAUUCCUGUCUGGUCGCAUGGCUGGGUGGGGAAAGUUUUUUCGGUGGGGGAUUGCGUCUGAUUAGCUAGUUGGAGGGGUAACGGCCCACCAAGGCGAUGAUCAGUAGCCGGUCUGAGAGGAUGAACGGCCACAUUGGGACUGAGACACGGCCCAGACUCCUACGGGAGGCAGCAGUGGGGAAUCUUCCGCAAUGGACGAAAGUCUGACGGAGCAACGCCGCGUGAGUGAUGACGGCCUUCGGGUUGUAAAGCUCUGUUAAUCGGGACGAAAGGCCUUCUUGCGAAUAGUUAGAAGGAUUGACGGUACCGGAAUAGAAAGCCACGGCUAACUACGUGCCAGCAGCCGCGGUAAUACGUAGGUGGCAAGCGUUGUCCGGAAUUAUUGGGCGUAAAGCGCGCGCAGGCGGAUCAGUCAGUCUGUCUUAAAAGUUCGGGGCUUAACCCCGUGAUGGGAUGGAAACUGCUGAUCUAGAGUAUCGGAGAGGAAAGUGGAAUUCCUAGUGUAGCGGUGAAAUGCGUAGAUAUUAGGAAGAACACCAGUGGCGAAGGCGACUUUCUGGACGAAAACUGACGCUGAGGCGCGAAAGCCAGGGGAGCGAACGGAAUUAGAUACCCCGGUAGUCCUGGCCGUAAACGAUGGGUACUAGGUGUAGGAGGUAUCGACCCCUUCUGUGCCGGAGUUAACGCAAUAAGUACCCCGCCUGGGGAGUACGACCGCAAGGUUGAAACUCAAAGGAAUUGACGGGGGCCCGCACAAGCGGUGGAGUAUGUGGUUUAAUUCGACGCAACGCGAAGAACCUUACCAGGUCUUGACAUUGAUGGACAGAACCAGAGAUGGUUCCUCUUCUUCGGAAGCCAGAAAACAGGUGGUGCACGGUUGUCGUCAGCUCGUGUCGUGAGAUGUUGGGUUAAGUCCCGCAACGAGCGCAAUCCCUAUCUUAUGUUGCCAGCACUUCGGGUGGGAACUCAUGAGAGACUGCCGCAGACAAUGCGGAGGAAGGCGGGGAUGACGUCAAAUCAUCAUGCCCCUUAUGACCUGGGCUACACACGUACUACAAUGGGAGUUAAUAGACGGAAGCGAGAUCGCGAGAUGGAGCAAACCCGAGAAACACUCUCUCAGUUCGGAUCGUAGGCUGCAACUCGCCUACGUGAAGUCGGAAUCGCUAGUAAUCGCAGGUCAGCAUACUGCGGUGAAUACGUUCCCGGGCCUUGCACACACCGCCCGUCA